rnacentral:rRNA from 1 species
CAGCCGCCGCGGUAAUACGAAGGGUGCAAGCGUUAAUCGGAAUUACUGGGCGUAAAGCGUGCGUAGGCGGUGAGUUAAGUCUGCUGUGAAAUCCCCGGGCUCAACCUGGGAAUGGCAGUGGAUACUGGCUCGCUAGAGUGUGUCAGAGGAUGGUGGAAUUCCCGGUGUAGCGGUGGAAUGCGUAGAGAUCGGGAGGAACAUCAGUGGCGAAGGCGGCCAUCUGGGACAACACUGACGCUGAGGCACGAAAGCGUGGGGAGCAAACAGGAUUAGAUACCCCCGUAGUCCCUGUCUCUUAUAC